CCUACGGGGGGCAGCAGUGGGGAAUAUUGGACAAUGGGCGAAAGCCUGAUCCAGCAAUGCCGCGUGAGUGAUGAAGGCCUUAGGGUUGUAAAGCUCUUUUACCAGGGAUGAUAAUGACAGUACCUGGAGAAUAAGCUCCGGCUAACUCCGUGCCAGCAGCCGCGGUAAUACGGAGGGAGCUAGCGUUGUUCGGAAUUACUGGGCGUAAAGCGUGCGUAGGCGGUUAUUCAAGUCAGAGGUGAAAGCCUGGAGCUCAACUCCAGAACUGCCUUUGAAACUAGAUAGCUAGAAUCUUGGAGAGGUUAGUGGAAUUCCGAGUGUAGAGGUGAAAUUCGUAGAUAUUCGGAAGAACACCAGUGGCGAAGGCGACUAACUGGACAAGUAUUGACGCUGAGGUACGAAAGCGUGGGGAGCAAACAGGAUUAGAUACCCGAGUAGUC
rnacentral:rRNA from 1 species